AAGAAAUGCAUCUGCAUAAGAAGCUGUACCAGCAUAACAAGGGAUAGCAUGAUUACACUUAGGCUAAUAUGUCUCCUCGUGGCACAGGCCCUUCAGGCUUUUCUUUGACCUAGCAGAGCUGACUCAAAGUUGCUUUCCUCCAUUCUCUCCCUCUCUUCUCUUCCCCAGAGGAGAUGAGGACCAAGCUGUGUUUCASAUACUACCUCACAAGCAAUUGUGGAGAACUCUUUCCCCAUAAGAAUGUCACCUGUAAGAGCUCCUGACUGGGGAAGCUAGUUACCAGUCUAUACCUGGAAAUCUUUUAAAAAUUGGCGUGACAGAAAGAAACGUUGAACUACCUGACAAGCAGUGCUGCGAAGGACGUCCUUUUUAGCAGGAUGCCAGAUAAAGCCAACAAGGCCAGCAUGAAAUUGUGGAUCUGCUGCCUCGUGAAUCCUGUCUGUGGGUGGGGGGAGAGCACACGAGGGUCAGUUAACUGA
rnacentral:lncRNA from 1 species